UUUAAAAGCACGAGUCCAGGGUGGGAUGCCUCCAGAGUAUUGGCUGGAGGGACCCACUCAGGGACCCUCUCUCGGCAGAGGCAGCCUAGAGGGAGGAGAAGAGCAACAAGCCAGAGAAAGAGGCCAGGCUGGGGCUGGGACAGAGAGUCCUGAAUCCCAUCUCCAGGUGACUCAGUGCCUGCUUUUGACCUUGGCAUUGACCUCAAGAGCCUUCUGCCAGCCUAGGAUGUGCGUAGGAAGGUCUCCACACCCAGCUUUGGCUGGCCGCCUUCGGGCCAGGUCACCCGAGGCCAGGCUUGCCUCAUCUCGGAUUCUUUUCCUUCUCCACGCUGCUCUGUCCUGGCUGCUUUGCUCACUGCAAGUCAGCACCCGUCUGCCUUGGACUGGGUCAUAUUACAACCACAGCCGGGGCCCGGGGACCCAACCACGGUGUGCCAGAGCAGGUGGCUCGCCUGGGACCCUGAAGUGCACACAGCAAGGUCCACGUUCCUGAGUUUUGUACAAAAUCGUCCACAGACUUUAGAAUCCACCAGGACGCAGGAGUCAAGACAGCUGGCCUAAUGCGACUUGAGCAGAGAAGCCCAGCCCUGCUCAAGACAGCCAGCCACAGGAAGUGACUGAGCCCAGGGCCUAGGCCAAGAGCCUUGGCAGGCCAGCUCUGCAGCCUGGGGAGUCACUGGGCUCCUCAAGUUACAGGAGCUGUUGUCAUGGAUACCAGUGGUUUUAUGGUCUAGCAAGUGGAAACACAGGACACCCAGUUCCAUUUGAGCGUCAGAUCAACAGUGUAAGUCAACCCCUGGCCGUGCUUGGGAGACACUGAUCCUAAGGGUCAUUCUUUUCUUUUCUGGAUUCUCACAUACCAGGGUCCCUGGUGUUUGACCCAUCAAACGAUGGCCUCAUUAUUCUUGAAGGAAACCCCUUGAAUGGAAGCAUCCUCUCCCCUGUGAUGUGCAGAGUCCCCAGAUGUCAGGAACUCAGAGAUCAUUUCUCCUAGACUGUGAAUGUUAGGUACCCAAUACAGAUGUCAGCAGUGUCUGUGAUGUUGAUAACAAUUAAUAACACUUGACACGGAUGUUAGUGCUCAUUCGCAGAGCGUCCGCUGUGCUCCAGACACACCCUUUGCUCAACUCUGUCACGUCUUCACUCAGGGACCCUGCGCAUGGUGGCUGCAUCCUGUCAUCAUGAACCAGGUUGUUCACAGGGCUCAUUCGAGAUAGAUGCUACAGAGUGUGUGUCCCCCAACUGCCAUGGUGGGGCGCUGUGCUGAGUGGCUUGUGAGGGUCACCUCAUAAAGUGUCGACUGUUCUGUACACGGAAGUUAUUCCUAGGUCAUCGGGAGGUCUCUACUUUGAAAGUGGGGAAACUGAGUCUCAAGCUCGGGGACAUCAAUAGUCAGGAAGCUCAGAUCCACAGAGAGAAGCUGGCUUCUGCCCGAGUUCCAUACUCCUCUAGGCUUCUCCAUCGGCCACAUGCAGGACUGCACUAGGAGGUCUGUGUCCCUCGUUGACCCCGAAGCCACCUCCUUGUUCCUUGUGGUACCCAACAGGGCACAAGGAUAGCUUCCCCAGGGAAGGUUACAGAUGUGUGUCUCUCAGCCAAGGACAGAGCCCAGGACAACAGACAGACAAACAGAUGGAUGGACGGGAGGCUCCUGCUCCUUGUUACAGUCAAGUGCAUCAUCUCUGUCUGAGCCUGCCACCUUCAGUAUUUGGUAGCCACCCUUCAGAUGAUGGAAAUUCCAUUCUGACCUCUUUCCAGGCACGUUCAGAAUCUCUGGGGUUGAGACUUCUCCAAAAACUUCUGCAGGAUCCUGGUGGGAAGCUCUCUCCUCUCUCUGCGUCAGCUUCCUGGGGGACCCACCGUUCCUUCCAGCCCAGAGCGGCAUCACUGUCUACACAUCACAAGCCUGGGUUGGUGUCGAGUGUCUCUGACUUUGGAGUCUCGAGCCCCGGACUUAGUUUUAUGGGCUUUGGCUGUCGAGGGCAGCCGACGACUCCAUCCAUCAACCGGGGACUGCUCUAACACUAAUGGUGAAUUUAUAGAAGUGGUUAAACAAAGUGUUGACAAUGCGGACGGUGUGUUUCUGAUUAACACACGAUUCCGAGGGAAGCUGCCAUCCGAGGGGGGAGUCAGUAAAACACAGCAGUGAAUUCCCAGGCCCCGGAGACUCCGACUAGACUGGAUCACCAGAGGUUGCGCAAGGAGAUCAUGAGUCUGAGGCUGCUGUGGGGACUCUUGUACAAACCCAGAGCCACCCCUCCCUUCCCCCCCUUUUUUUUUCUUGAGAGAUUACAUCUGAGUUCUCUCUUCCAGCCUUAAGCGUUUCCAUUAGAAAAUUCUGUCAGCUCCCAUGGUGUUCUCUCCAAACCCUGUCCUCAGACCAACCCCUCUCCCAAGGUGACCUGAAACACGGUGGAGCACUUAGCUGCUUUCUGGGUGCUGAUGGCUUUCUUAAAUCAUCUCUAGUCAUUAAGAGAACGGGUGGGGCCGUUUGCAUUUUAAAAAGACUUCUCUUCUAAAUAGCGUGGCUCUCACUGGAAGUUGCAGUAUGAUCCAGAGUGCUCUCUUGUUUCCGUGUUCCCUCCUACCCCAGUUCCCUCUUACCCCAGUGCCCCUUACCCCAGUGCCCCACAUGAUCACAUUCAAUUUCAUGGCCAUAGCAAAUUGUCAGAGCAUAGUAAAUUGCCUUUCUGACAUUCUGGGCCCCUUCAGCAGGAUUUUACUUUAUUUUCUUAAACAGCCUAUAACUUUUAUCACACAUUAAGAUUAGCAACUGCCACUAUCUGUGACGGGAGAGUCUCCCAUGAUUACACCAGAAGUCCCUGGGUUCAUCUCCCCCAUUCCUGGUGAUAAUUGCUAUGUCACGAGGUCGAACAAUGUGUAAGCUUCAAGACUGGCCUCCUAGUACUAGCUUUUCAGACAAAGCCUUGGCAUGGAACCCAGGUUGGCCUCAAAUUCCUGAUUUCCUGCUUCAGCCUCCAGAACAUUGAGGUCACAGGUGUGUGCCACCACACCAGGCUCCAUCUGCCUUCGUUUCUUCCACAUCAUCCCUUUUGGUCAGUGAAUAGUAUUCCAGUGUAUGGAUAUAACACAGUCUGUCCAUUCACUGGUUGAAGAACACCAGCUGUAGACUACACUGGCUGCUGAGAUUCAUACGCAUGAGGUGCUAAUGCAUAUUCAUGGACAGGAUUAUGUGAGCAUCUACAGUUAACAGACAAGGUUAUCAGAGACAAAAGAGAUGAUGGACAGGCCAUCAAGUAAUGUGGACACAGCUGAACUGAGAACUGAACACGGAUACAAACUCUAGAGUCCAUGUCUGCCCAAUUAUGUCUAUGAUGGAAAAUCUUGUAGCUAAAAAAAAAAAAAAAAAACAUUAAAACCUCUUGAGCCUGAG
rnacentral:lncRNA from 1 species